GGGGGUGGAUUAGCUUUUUGUCUGUUGAAACACUAAUGAUACUUACCAUGAAGCUUUUCUUUGUUCUGGUUUGAACAAACUAAAGCCUUGUAGUUGUUGGGAUAAAUAAGCCAAGCGUUUGAGUGAUUGUUGGGAGGGAAAUGUUGAGUAGAUUCUAAAUAUACCAAAUUCCUUUUUGAGACAGAUUAGGCCUUUGUGUUUUGACAUUUUUGCUCCAGUGCUGGCCAUUAACAGUGUUUUGGUAAGGGACAGGUGGAGAGGUUAGAGGAGAGACAACACAGGGGUGAAAUCCCUCCAGGGUGUGGAUGGAAAUGAGUGGAUCUUUCCUACAUGAGGUCAGAGCGAUAGCUACCGCGGAAACGUAUGGUGGACAGCACGUUCACUGUUCCAGACCCCCGGCUGCCCUUUUCAUCACGAGCAGAGAGCCGUCCUCCCACCUGAUCCACAGCUUUUGUCUAUAUUUCCUUUGAUUGAGAGACUUUGACAAAGACAUCAAUGGGACAGACACCAAGUGAAAGCAUAAGGGCACACUCAUCCACCUCCACUCCUGCAGUAUGCCAAUGACAUGGCCUUCACCACACACAUCUAAGCCUUUCGCUUUGUCACUAACAUUUUGUUUUUCCCACCCUCGUGUUUGGAGGACGAGGGAGAGACAUCAUCUGUGAUCAUAUCUGCUUGUUAGAGUCAGACUGAUUUUCUUGGGAGAGCUUUUGGACAAUUACUGGAUGGACAUAAAAGGAUCUGAAUGCUGACUAACCUAAGAAUGACCCAUUUUAGGGUAAUUUGCUUCUGGUGGUCAGAGGAUCAAAGAGAAGGGCCAUUGAGUUGUUUUAACGAGCCCCCACCCCAUCAACAUUUCCACAUAAACUCUGUUUAUUUGAA